CUGUGUCUUAGUAUAUCAUCAUCAUUGUUGUUGCUUUAACAUCCACUUUUCCAUGCUUACAUUAGUCAAACACCAUUUAUUGAGGCAAAUUUUUUACAAGCAGAUGCCCUUCCUGUUGCCAACCCUUGCCCAUUUCUAAAUAAGGUAUUUCCUCAUUACUAAACAUUGUUUUCAUGGAAGAAUGGAGAUGGACACCAUGAUGGUGAUGACUUUUGUGGUGUGUGAAUAGACUUCACUCACACACACACACACACACACACACACACACACACACACACACACAGCACAUGUACUGUGUGAUAAGGCUUCAACUAUAAUAAAACCACAAGUCUUGUGAAAUACAGCUACCUAGGGUUUCCUAGUUGAAAUAUUAAUUUAUUUUGCUAUUUUUCAAGCUGAUAAAAACAAGACAGUUCGUCAGCUACAUUCGAAGCAGUUGACAUUUGAAUGGGUACACUCAUAGAUAGAGAGAAAAACACAUGGGAAAUAACCAACAUUACAGCAAACAUUACACACAUCAAAAUUACAUAAACAGACUGGAAUGAUGGUUUCUGCUAGAUGAAAUUUUUUAAAUGUGGACAUAAA